rnacentral:tRNA from 1 species
UCUUUAGUAGCUCAGUGGUAGAGCGAGUGGCUGUUAACCACCAGGACGUUGGUUCAAAUCCAGCCUAAAGAG